GGGCCCGCACAAGCGGUGGAGCAUGUGGUUUAAUUCGAUGCAACGCGAAAAACCUUACCUACCCUUGACAUCAUCAGAACUUGUUAGAGAUAACUCGGUGCCUUCGGGAACUGAUUGACAGGUGCUGCAUGGCUGUCGUCAGCUCGUGUCGUGAGAUGUUGGUUAAGUCCCGUAACGAGCGCAACCCUUAUCCUUAGUUGCCAGCACGUAAUGGUGGGGACUCUAAGGAGACUGCCGGUGCUAAGCCGGAGGAAGGCGGGACGACGUCAAGUCAUCAUGGCCCUUACGGGUAGGGCUACACACGUGCUACAAUGGCCGGUACAGAGGGUUGCCAAGCCGCGAGGUGGAGCU
rnacentral:rRNA from 1 species